GGAAAUUUUAACGAUCUCGUUGGUGACCAGCGGAGGGAUCAUUACUGAGUUUACGCUCUAUAACCCUUUGUGAACAUACCUAUAACUGUUGCUUCGGCGGGUAGGGUCUCCGCGACCCUCCCGGCCUCCCGCCUCCGGGCGGGUCGGCGCCCGCCGGAGGAUAACCAAACUCUGAUUUAACGACGUUUCUUCUGAGUGGUACAAGCAAAUAAUCAAAACUUUUAACAACGGAUCUCUUGGUUCUGGCAUCGAUGAAGAACGCAGCGAAAUGCGAUAAGUAAUGUGAAUUGCAGAAUUCAGUGAAUCAUCGAAUCUUUGAACGCACAUUGCGCCCGCCAGCAUUCUGGCGGGCAUGCCUGUUCGAGCGUCAUUUCAACCCUCAAGCUCUGCUUGGUGUUGGGGCCCUACAGCUGAUGUAGGCCCUCAAAGGUAGUGGCGGACCCUCCCGGAGCCUCCUUUGCGUAGUAACUUUACGUCUCGCACUGGGAUCCGGAGGGACUCUUGCCGUAAAACCCCCCAAUUUUCCAAAGGUUGACCUCGGAUCAGGUAGGAAUACCCGCUGAACUUAAGCAUAUCAAUAAGCGGGAGGAA
rnacentral:rRNA from 1 species